GGUGCGCGGAUGAAGCGCUCAAAAGGGAACGGAGUGAAAGUCUCCGACUGUCCCGCAGCUGUAAGCUCCUUUAUUGUUUUCCCGGCGAUGACGCCACUGCCCUUUGUCGUUGUUUGAUAGGGUGGGAAGGUGUCGGGAGAGUGGAGCGAAGUCAGAAUACCUGCCUUGACUGUU
rnacentral:ncRNA from 1 species